rnacentral:ncRNA from 1 species
GUUUCAGGAUUGGGUGAAAUUCCCUACCGGCGGUAACUGGCGAACGCCCGGGACGGCACGGCAACACGCGCCUGCGCCCCACGCCAGAAGCCCGCGAACCGCGCCCCGCGCGGUCGAUCCGGUGCGACUCCGGAGCCGACGGUACAGUCCGGAUGGAAGAAA